AUUAAUAAAAGUGUAUAUUUUGUGAUUUUUGGGAUUUAUUUAUGAAAGAUUGGUGAGGGUUUGCCGAUUAUAAUUUUGUAUGCCAUUCUGGAAUACCAGCGAAAGAAAAAAAUGGGUAAAUCACACGUGAGUAAGUGUACAUUCCCCAAACCCCGGAAAGAUCGAAAUAAAAUCUCAAAUUUCUUCAGAUCUAGUUAUAUAUUUUGGGAGUUGGCGAAUUCGUCCUUUAUUACAUUAUUUGGAGCAUUUAAGUUUGUAUUGUUUCCUCUUAGCAAUUACUCAACUUUUUGGGACCAAGAUCUCGUGGGCCAAUUGCUAUAAUGAAGAUCUGGAAUUUUUGGUUGUUCUAUGUCAUGGAUGAGCUUUGGGGAAGUAUAGUGAUUUUAGUAAGAGAUACUCUUUUUGGGAUUCACUAAUUAGGUAAGCAUAUGUUCAUCCUUUCCUGAAUAUGUUUAAGAACUAGAUGGAGAUGAUGAUUCUAGAAUCUAGUGUAAGUGUCAUAAUUUGAUACAAUAGAGUCAUACAGUUUGGGUGAAGCUUGAGAUUUUUGGUGCUUUCUUUAUUAUAGUCUUAUUGUGCGAGAAAUCCAAUUAAUUAGAUUCUGAUAUUCUCUAGUUCACACACCACUUUGUUUGGACGAUGGUUGCUUCUGUAGUUUUGCGUGCUAAAAUUAGUCUCUUUAUAGUAGCAAUAAGUUGAUGCUUGAUAUCAUUUGGAUACUCGUGCUACUAGACUGUGCCUUCUGCAUCUUCAUGGUUCUGAUGGGAAGGAGGAAGCAUGCUGCCGGUGGCAAAAUAGUGAAAUUCUAAAAUUUUGCUCUAGCUCUAUUUAAUAUUCCUUUUAAUGGUUGAUAACUUAACUAAUAGUUUGAUUUAUGUUGCCAACUGGAGAAUAUUAUUUUUUUUCUUGGUCUACUUGUUAUAUUUUGUUUCAGUUGGUCAUACCAAAUUUUUAAGGUUUCAUUCUGUUCUCUUGGAAUUAUCAUUCUUUUACUCUUGUGCUAGCCAGUUACAAUAUAGUCAUUAACAGUUGUCUAUGUCUAUAUUGUCACUGCUCUUGAGCUUUGGUGGGUGAAAUCGGCUCAUUUUUAGGUCAAGUGCCAUUUUUACUACUCUUUAAAAGUCUCAUUAUUUUAGUUUAUUGCCUUAAUAAACUUGAUUCUAUUAUGCAUAGUAACGGGCUAGUGUUGAAUGAAUCUUCAUUUUACAGAAAAAUAUGUCUUUUUAAGUAAAAAUCACUACAUUAUAUUUAUUAGAUUUUUACUUAAGCAUGAUAUCGAUUUAAGAAAUGUUAGAGCAAUUUACGAGCUGACACUAAUGGUUAAUGAAUGGUGACUCUAAUUAUUUUAACAUAAUGUAAUAUAAGUCUGAAGAAUACUUUUGAUAAUUUGAGUAGUAGAUUAUAGUAUUCUUUCUUUCUAUCGUUAGAAAUUUUUUACCACUGAUGGAGUAAGUAGCAAUGGAGCUGAAAGAUGGUAAUUCCAUGGAGGAACUGCCCUUGUUAUUGGAGUACUACGGGUAUAGAUCAAUUUUCCCUUGUUGAUUCAAAUUUUGAAGGUGCAUAUAAUUACACUUGAUAGAAUGUGACAUGUUUUGGAGACUUAGUUUACACAUCAAGAUGUAGGUUGAAGACUUCAUGCAAGUUGACGAGUUGAUUAUUAUUUUGCAAAGACUGCUAGGCAAAAAUUUAUAUUUUUUGCUAUGGAUCUUAGCUCUUUUACAAAGAGGUUGUGUAAACAAUAAACAAAGAUAUUAUUGAUAAUUUUGUU